GACGAACGCUGGCGGCGUGCUUAACACAUGCAAGUCGAACGGAAAGGCCCUGCUUUUGUGGGGUGCUCGAGUGGCGAACGGGUGAGUAACACGUGAGUAACCUGCCCUUGACUUUGGGAUAACUUCAGGAAACUGGGGCUAAUACCGGAUAGGAGCUCCUGCUGCAUGGUGGGGGUUGGAAAGUUUCGGCGGUUGGGGAUGGACUCGCGGCUUAUCAGCUUGUUGGUGGGGUAGUGGCUUACCAAGGCUUUGACGGGUAGCCGGCCUGGGAGGGUGACCGGCCACAUUGGGACUGAGAUACGGCCCAGACUCCUACGGGAGGCAGCAGUGGGGAAUAUUGCACAAUGGGCGGAAGCCUGAUGCAGCAACGCCGCGUGCGGGAUGACGGCCUUCGGGUUUUAAACCGCUUUCGCCUGUGACGAAGCGUGAGUGACGGUAAUGGGUAAAGAAGCACCGGCUAACUACGUG
rnacentral:rRNA from 1 species